rnacentral:rRNA from 1 species
UACGUAGGGGGCAAGCGUUGUCCGGAAUCAUUGGGCGUAAAGAGCGUGUAGGCGGCUUGGCAAGUCUGACGUGAAAUCCCGCGGCUCAACCGCGGUAGGUCGUGAAGACUGCCUCGCUAGAGUCCGGAAGAGGAGAGCGGAAUUCCUGGUGUAGCGGUGGAAUGCGCAGAUAUCAGGAAGAACACCCGUGGCGAAGGCGGCUCUCUGGGACGGUACUGACGCUGAGACGCGAAAGCGUGGGGAGCGAACAGG